rfam:Oryza rufipogon genomic scaffold, chr03
AAUAAGCGCAGCCAUAAAUUUACGUGUCCAAUUUUAACCGUCUGUCUUAUUUGAAUUUUUUUAUAAUUAGUUUUUUUAUUGUUAUUAGAUUAUAAAACAUAAAUAUUACUUUAUACGUGACUUAUAUUUUUUUAGUUUUUUCAAAAAAAAAGACGAAUAAUUAAAGUUGGACACGGAAACUCAUGACUGCGCUUAUU